rnacentral:rRNA from 1 species
GAUGAACGCUAGCGGCAGGCCUAAUACAUGCAAGUCGGACGGGAUUCAGGAGCUUGCUUCUGAUGAGAGUGGCGCACGGGUGCGUAACACGUAUGUAACCUACCUUUAUCAGGGGGAUAGCCUCUCGAAAGAGAGAUUAAGCCCGCAUAAAAUCACAGCACAGCAUUGUGUAAUGAUCAAAUAUUUAUAGGAUAAAGAUGGGCAUGCGGAACAUUAGCUAGAUGGCGGGGUAACGGCCCACCAUGGCGACGAUGUUUAGGGGAUCUGAGAGGAUGGCCCCCCACACUGGUACUGAGACACGGACCAGACUCCUACGGGAGGCAGCAGUAAGGAAUAGUGGGCAAUGGGCGGAAGCCUGAACCAGCCAUGCCGCGUGCAGGAAGACGGCCCUACGGGUUGUAAACUGCUUUUAUACGGGAAUAAACCCAGAUACGUGUAUCUGGCUGAAUGUACUGGAAGAAUAAGGAUCGGCUAACCCCGUG